rnacentral:rRNA from 1 species
GGGAUUGCUUUUGGAACUGUCAUGCUAGAGUGCAGGAGGGGUGAGCGGAAUUCCUAGUGUAGCGGUGAAAUGCGUAGAUAUUAGGAGGAACACCGGAGGCGAAGGCGGCUCACUGGACUGUAACUGACACUGAGGCUCGAAAGCGUGGGGAGCAAACAGGAUUAGAUACCCUGGUAGUCCACGCGGUAAACGAUGAAUACUAGAUGUCGGGUAGCAUAGCUACUCGGUGUCGUCGCAAACGCAAUAAGUAUUCCACCUGGGGAGUACGUUCGCAAGAAUGAAACUCAAAGGAAUUGACGGGGACCCGCACAAGCGGUGGAGCAUGCGGUUUAAUUCGAAGCAACGCGAAGAACCUUACCUGCUCUUGACAUCCCAUUCGAUAGAGGGUAAUGCCUCUAGCCCUUCGGGGGAAUGGAGACAGGUGGUGCAUGGUUGUCGUCAGCUCGUGUCGUGAGAUGUUGGGUUAAGUCCCGCAACGAGCGCAACCCUUAUUGUCAGUAGCCAGCAGGUGAAGCUGGGCACUCUGAUGAGACUGCCGGGGAUAACCCGGAGGAAGGUGGGGAUGACGUCAAAUCAUCAUGCCCCUUAUGAGCAGGGCUACACACGUGCUACAAUGGCGUAAACAGAGGGAAGCGAAGGAGUGAUCCGGAGCAAAUCUCAAAAAUAACGUCUCAGUUCGGAUUGUAGUCUGCAACUCGACUACAUGAAGCUGGAAUCGCUAGUAAUCGCAGAUCAGAAUGCUGCGGUGAAUACGUUCCCGGGUCUUGUACACACCGCCCGUCACGCCAUGGGAGUCGGUAAUGCCCGAAGUCAGUGACUCAACCGAAAGGAGAGA